AAAACCUGUAGAAGUAAAAGAAGACGAGAAGCCAGCAACUGUUGUUUCUGAGGAAAUUGUGGAGAAAGCUGAGGAACCACCAGCACCUGCUGCUGAAGAAAAAACUGAAGAUACUCCUGCUGCUGUUGAAGAAAGCACUGAAACUCCCGCUGCUGUUGAAGAAAGCACUGAAACUCCCGCUGCUGCUGAAAGCAACAGUGAAGAUACCCCUGCUGCUGCUGAAGAAUCCAAUGAAGCUACAGAAGAGAACUCAGGAAAAGAAGCUGCAGAAGAGAGGCGGGAGAUU
rnacentral:lncRNA from 1 species